rnacentral:lncRNA from 1 species
CAUGAAAGGGUUUGCACAGCAUUCAUUUUCUUAAAGUUCUAGAAGAAGAUUCAGAUCCAAAGCUGAGGAGAAAGGCCUGCAAGGUGCUAGAACACCAGUGGUUUUAGUACUCUGAUCAGACAUCUCUGUGUGGAUAUAAGUCGAGGUCGGGUGCUUGCACGGUUACGACUAGAACCCUGGACAUCUGCAGGAUCCAAAGAUAUGGAGAUC